rnacentral:rRNA from 1 species
GACGAACGCUGGCGGCGUGCUUAACACAUGCAAGUCGAACGGUGAAGCCCUUCGGGGUGGAUCAGUGGCGAACGGGUGAGUAACACGUGGGCAAUCUGCCCUGCACUCUGGGACAAGCCCUGGAAACGGGGUCUAAUACCGGAUAUGACCUUCCUCUGCAUGGGGGUUGGUGGAAAGCUCCGGCGGUGCAGGAUGAGCCCGCGGCCUAUCAGCUUGUUGGUGGGGUAAUGGCCUACCAAGGCGACGACGGGUAGCCGGCCUGAGAGGGCGACCGGCC